rnacentral:rRNA from 1 species
UACGUAGGGUGCGAGCGUUGUCCGGAUUUACUGGGCGUAAAGGGCGCGUAGGCGGCCACCGCAAGUCAGUUGUGAAAUCUCUGGGCUUAACCCAGAACGGUCAGCUGAUACUGCGGGGCUAGAGUGCAGAAGGGGCAACUGGAAUUCUCGGUGUAGCGGUGAAAUGCGUAGAUAUCGAGAGGAACACCUGCGGCGAAGGCGGGUUGCUGGGCUGACACUGACGCUGACAGCGCGAAAGCUAGGGGAGCAAACGGG